GUGCCAGCAGCCGCGGUAAUACGUAGGGUGCGAGCGUUGUCCGGAAUUACUGGGCGUAAAGAGCUCGUAGGUGGUUUGUCGCGUCGUUUGUGUAAGCCCGCAGCUUAACUGCGGGACUGCAGGCGAUACGGGCAUAACUUGAGUGCUGUAGGGGAGACUGGAAUUCCUGGUGUAGCGGUGGAAUGCGCAGAUAUCAGGAGGAACACCGAUGGCGAAGGCAGGUCUCUGGGCAGUAACUGACGCUGAGGAGCGAAAGCAUGGGUAGCGAACAGGAUUAGAUACCCUGGUAGUCCAUGCCGUAAACGGUGGGCGCUAGGUGUGAGUCCCUUCCACGGGGUUCGUGCCGUAGCUAACGCAUUAAGCGCCCCGCCUGGGGAGUACGGCCGCAAGGCUAAAACUCAAAGGAAUUGACGGGGGCCCGCACAAGCGGCGGAGCAUGUGGAUUAAUUCGAUGCAACGCGAAGAACCUUACCUGGGCUUGACAUAUACGGGAUCGGCGUAGAGAUACGUUUUCCCUUGUGGCUCGUAUACAGGUGGUGCAUGGUUGUCGUCAGCUCGUGUCGUGAGAUGUUGGGUUAAGUCCCGCAACGAGCGCAACCCUUGUCUUGUGUUGCCAGCACGUUAUGGUGGGGACUCGCGAGAGACUGCCGGGGUUAACUCGGAGGAAGGUGGGGAUGACGUCAAAUCAUCAUGCCCCUUAUGUCCAGGGCUUCACACAUGCUACAAUGGUCGGUACAGUGGGUUGCGAUGCCGUGAGGUGGAGCUAAUCCCUUAAAGCCGGUCUCAGUUCGGAUUGGAGUCUGCAACUCGACUCCAUGAAGUCGGAGUCGCUAGUAAUCGCAGAUCAGCAACGCUGCGGUGAAUACGUUCCCGGGCCUUGUACACACCGCCCGUCACGUCAUGAAAGUUGGUAACACCCGAAGCCAGUGGCCCAAACUCGUUAGGGAGCUGUCGAAGGUGGGAUCGGCGAUUGGGACGAAGUCGUAACAAGGUA
rnacentral:rRNA from 1 species